rnacentral:antisense_RNA from 1 species
AUACAAAAUUAACAAAUAGCAUAGUUAAGUAUAUUUGGAUUUGUCGUUCCACAAACUUUGGUCGGGGAGUGGGCGACUUCUUUUUUUAUUUUGCU